rnacentral:rRNA from 1 species
GAUGAACGCUGGCGGCGUGCCUAAUGCAUGCAAGUCGAGCGAACGGACGAGAAGCUUGCUUCUCUGAUGUUAGCGGCGGACGGGUGAGUAACACGUGGAUAACCUACCUAUAAGACUGGGAUAACUUCGGGAAACCGGAGCUAAUACCGGAUAAUAUUUUGAACCGCAUGGUUCAAAAGUGAAAGACGGUCUUGCUGUCACUUAUAGAUGGAUCCGCGCUGCAUUAGCUAGUUGGUAAGGUAACGGCUUACCAAGGCAACGAUGCAUAGCCGACCUGAGAGGGUGAUCGGCCACACUGGAACUGAGACACGGUCCAGACUCCUACGGGAGGCAGCAGUAGGGAAUCUUCCGCAAUGGGCGAAAGCCUGACGGAGCAACGCCGCGUGAGUGAUGAAGGUCUUCGGAUCGUAAAACUCUGUUAUUAGGGAAGAACAUAUGUGUAAGUAACUGCGCACAUCUUGACGGUACCUAAUCAGAAAGCCACGGCUAACUACGUG